GGGCUCACAGUGGACAACAAAACGCAUUCUUUUCUGGUGUGACAAUGAAGCUACAGUAGCUAUAGUAAAAAAGGGCCGUUCAAAGUGUUUACAAAUAAUGAAAUUAAUGAGAAAACUUACAUGGUGUGCUUGUAAAUACAACUUUCAUUUUAGUGCGAAACAUGUUCCAGGAUAUCAGAAUGAUAUAAGUGAUGCUCUAUCUCGUUUACAGAUAGACAGAUUCCGCAAACUAGCUCCCAGUGCAGCACAACAUCCAAUGAAGUGCCCAAGCAGCUCAGAUGUAAUGUGGUCCUAAAUCAAGCAGUGAAUGAACUUUGGAACAGUGCUAUUGCUAAUACUACAAGAACUGUUUAUGAUACUGGGUUCAGAAAAUUUGAGACUUUUAUGUUAUUGAAUGGUUUUCAAUUUUCUAGUUUACCUCCUAUUUCUGAGGAUAUUUUAAUUUAUUUCAUAGCCC
rnacentral:lncRNA from 1 species